rnacentral:rRNA from 1 species
AGAGUUUGAUCCUGGCUCAGAACGAACGCUGGCGGCGUGCCUAACACAUGCAAGUCGCACGAGAAAUCCCGGGCAACUGGGAGAGUAAAGUGGCGCACGGGUGAGUAACGCGUGGGUAACCUACCCUUGAAUUGGGGAUAACUCUUCGAAAGGAGAGUUAAUACCGAAUAACAUUCCGAUUCCCCCGGGAGUUGGAAUCAAAGAUGGCCUCUGCAUGCAAGCUAUCGUUUAAGGAUGGGCCCGCUUGCCAUUAGCUAGUUGGUAGGGUAAUGGCCUACCAAGGCUGCGAUGGUUAGCUGGUCUAAGAGGAUGGCCAGCCACACUGGAACUGAGACACGGUCCAGACUCCUACGGGAGGCAGCAGUGGGGAAUCUUGCGCAAUGGGGGAAACCCUGACGCAGCAACGCCGCGUGGGUGAUGAAGGCCUUCGGGUCGUAAAGCCCUGUCAGGUGGGAAGAAACCUGCGGAUGCUAAUAUCAUUCGCAAUUGACGGUACACCGGAGGAAGCACCGGCUAACUCCGUGCCAGCAGCCGCGGUAAUACGGAGGGUGCAAGCGUUGUUCGGAAUUAUUGGGCGUAAAGCGCGUGUAGGUGGUCGGGUAAGUCAGAUGUGAAAGCCUUCUGCUUAACAGAAGAAGUGCAUUUGAAACUGCUCGGCUAGAGUACGGGAGAGGAGAGUGGAAUUCCCGGUGUAGAGGUGAAAUUCGUAGAUAUCGGGAGGAACACCAGUGGCGAAGGCGGCUCUCUGGUCCGAUACUGACGCUGAGACGCGAAAGCGUGGGGAGCAAACAGGAUUAGAUACCCUGGUAGUCCACGCCGUAAACGAUGGGCACUAGGUGUAGGAGGUAUUGACCCCUUCUGUGCCGAAGCUAACGCAUUAAGUGCCCCGCCUGGGGAGUACGGCCGCAAGGCUAAAACUCAAAGGAAUUGACGGGGGCCCGCACAAGCGGUGGAGCAUGUGGUUCAAUUCGACGCAACGCGAAGAACCUUACCUGGGUUUGACAUCCGCUGACCGCUACGGAAACGUAGUUUUCCCCGCAAGGGGACAGCGAGACAGGUGCUGCAUGGCUGUCGUCAGCUCGUGUCGUGAGAUGUUGGGUUAAGUCCCGCAACGAGCGCAACCCUCAUCCUUAGUUGCCAUCAUUGAGUUGGGAACUCUAAGGAAACUGCCUCGGUUAACGGGGAGGAAGGUGGGGAUGACGUCAAGUCCUCAUGGCCUUUAUAUCCAGGGCUACACACGUGCUACAAUGGGCGGCACAAAGGGUUGCAAUCCCGCGAGGGUGAGCUAAUCUCAAAAAGCCGUUCUCAGUUCAGAUUGGAGUCUGCAACUCGACUCCAUGAAGGCGGAAUCGCUAGUAAUCGCGGAUCAGCAUGCCGCGGUGAAUACGUUCCC